rnacentral:lncRNA from 1 species
AUCUGCAAAAUAAUCGAAAAAAAACAUAAAACAAAAAUAUAAUUAUAUCUGAAAAAUAAUCAUAAAAAACGUAAAACAAGAAAAAAAUUUAUGACAAAAAGAUAUAAUAUGUGUAAACUUAAUUAGGCACGGAUCUAGAACUUCAUGAUUUUCACAUUCAUAUGAAUAGGAAUACUAACCUUGAUAAGCCAUAGCAAUUGAUGAUGAAGAAAUUGGUUUCUCU